GCCUGAGUCUCAGCCGGAUGCUCCUGUCAGGUAGGAACAUCUGGAAGUCAGAGACAAUGAAAACACACAAGGCUCAAGUGUUUUGCCCCGAGCAGUGUUUACAGGAACAGGAAAGCCUGGUGAUAAACUGGUCACUUACUAGCCAGUCCAGCUAACUAUUGGAGGAGGUCAUUGAGAGGAUAUGGCCUCUGGUUGGUUGACCCUCAAGUUGGACCCAGGCGAUCAGAGAGUCCUUACCCUCUCACAGUCCUUGGAAUGUAUAUUCGGCCUACUGUCCUGGUGCUCGCAGCCUUUUGAAGGAAGGGGCCUUGAGUGAGUAAGGUGUUGUUGAGACCAUCUGGACCAAGUGUGUGACUGACCCCAGUUAAGGGGCCUCCAUAUAAACUUUCAGGAUUCCAGUGGGCGGGAAUGGAAAUCUACUCAUCUUGCAGCCGCCCAAGACAAGCCUCGUAAGAGCAUCUGCAGGGAUGGUUCGGAACAUUUAAGGCUGCUUAGAUAAUGACAAUCAGUGCUGGCCUCAAUCAUUAGAUGAUGUUGGAAGGAAGAAGCGACGGGACUACAUGUGCACAAAAGAAAGACCAUGUGAAGACACAGCAGCAAGGCAGCCACCUGCAAGACGAGGAGGGAGAGGUCUCAGGACAAACAGCCCUGCCGGCACCAUGAUCUUGAACUCCCAGCCUCCAGAACCGUGCAAAGGGCUGAUGUGAAACUGUAGCGUGAUGGUCAGCUGGAUUGGUUGGUUACAGCUUCUGCUCCAAUUGGUCCCUCAAUCAUUCCAGAUGCAGAACGGGGCG